GAUGAACGCUGGCGGCGUGCCUAAUACAUGCAAGUCGAGCGAACGGGCGAGACUCUUGCUUCUCUGUUGUUAGCAGCGGGCGGGUGAGUCACACGUAGAUAACCUACCUAUCAGGCUUAGAUAACUUCGGGAAACCGGAGCUCAUACCGGGUACAAUUUUGAACCGCCUGGUUCGAGAGUGACAGACGGUCUUGCUGUCACUUAUGCAGGGAUCCGCGCUGCAUUAGCUAGUUUGUCAGGUAAAGGCUUACAAAGGCAACUAUGCAUAGCCGACCUGCGAGGGUGAUCGGCGACCCUGGAACUGAGACACGGUCCCGGCGACUAAGGGACGCAGCAGUAGGGAAUCGGCCGCAAUGGGCGAAAGCCUUACGGAGCAACGCCGCGUGAGUGACGAAGGUGUCCGGAUCGUAAAACUCGGUUACGAGGGAAGAACAUAUUUGUAUGGAACUGUGCAGAUCUUGACGGUACCUAAUCAGAAAGCCACGGCUAACUACGUG
rnacentral:rRNA from 1 species